UUUUCGUUUUUUUUUUCGUUUUUUU
rnacentral:sRNA from 1 species